rnacentral:rRNA from 1 species
GACGAACGCUGGCGGCGUGCUUAACACAUGCAAGUCGAACGGAAAGGCCCUGCUUUUGUGGGGUGCUCGAGUGGCGAACGGGUGAGUAACACGUGAGUAACCUGCCCUUGACUUUGGGAUAACUUCAGGAAACUGGGGCUAAUACCGGAUAGGAGCUCCUGCUGCAUGGUGGGGGUUGGAAAGUUUCGGCGGUUGGGGAUGGACUCGCGGCUUAUCGGCUUGUUGGUGGGGUAGUGGGUUACCAAGGCUUUGACCGGUAGCCGGUCUGAGAGGGUGACCGGCCACAUUGGGCCUGAGAUACGGCCCAGACUCGUACGCGAGGCAGCAGUGGGGAAUAUUGCACAGUGGGCGGAAGCCUGAUGCAGCAACGCCGCGUGCGGGAUGACGGCCUUCGGGUUGUAAACCGCUUUCGCCUGUGACGAAGCGUGAGUGACGGUAAUGGGUAAAGAAGCACCGGCUAACUACGUG